UCAGUAACAAGGAUUCAUCCUGUUGUAAUGCUGCAGGCUGACAGGAAAUCACUGUUACUGUGG
rnacentral:pre_miRNA from 1 species